CUUCAGUGUGGUUUUACCUCACUUUUGGUGACCAGUUCCAGGUCCGGCCAACUACACCACACAAGAGAAGGCGUCGAGGACAGUCUCUCAACUGAACAUCUUCGACGACGGAAUAAAACGAUGAACUAAGUUAAGAAGUUGGGAAAGAAUUGGAUCCACUCUACACUGAUGGGUCGUCUAACACUGUCAAUGGCAGGGCUG